AGUGAACGCUGGCGGUAGGCCUAACACAUGCAAGUCGAACGGCAGCACAGUAAGAGCUUGCUCUUACGGGUGGCGAGUGGCGGACGGGUGAGGAAUACAUCGGAAUCUACUUUUUCGUGGGGGAUAACGUAGGGAAACUUACGCUAAUACCGCAUACGACCUACGGGUGAAAGCAGGGGAUCUUCGGACCUUGCGCGAUUGAAUGAGCCGAUGUCGGAUUAGCUAGUUGGCGGGGUAAAGGCCCACCAAGGCGACGAUCCGUAGCUGGUCUGAGAGGAUGAUCAGCCACACUGGAACUGAGACACGGUCCAGACUCCUACGGGAGGCAGCAGUGGGGGAUAUUGGACAAUGGGCGCAAGCCUGAUCCGGCCAUACCGCGUGGGUGAAGAAGGCCUUCGGGUUGUAAAGCCCUUUUGUUGGGAAAGAAAAGCAGCAGGUUAAUACCCCGCUGUUCUGACGGUACCCAAAGAAUAAGCACCGGCUAACUUCGUG
rnacentral:rRNA from 1 species